GGGCAGAUGGCUGAGUGGUUUAAAGCGCUAUUCUUGAAAAUUAGUUCAGGCCAAAAACCUGACACGGGUUCAAAUCCCGUUCUGCCCU
rnacentral:tRNA from 1 species